rnacentral:rRNA from 1 species
UCAAUUGCGGCCAUAGCAGCAGGGUCACACCCGGACUCAUUCCGAACCCGGAAGUUAAGCCUGUUCACGUCGGAUGCGGUACUCAGAUACGCGAGUUCUCGGGAAACAUCCAACGCUGCAAUUGU